rnacentral:rRNA from 1 species
GGUUUUUAGAAGUUAUUAAAAAUCUGGCCUGCUCAAUGCUUAGUAAAUAGCCGCAGUAUUUUGACUGUGCAAAGGUAGCAUAAUCAUUUGUCUUUUAAUUUAGGACUGGAAUGAAAGGUUUAACUACGUAUUUUUGUCUUAUAGUAAUAUUUUGAAAUUUAUUUUUUAGUAAAAAAGCUAAAAUUGAUUAUUGGGACAAGAAGACCCUAUCAAGUUUUACAAUAAAUAAUUUAUUUUCAAAUUAAAUUUAAAAUUGUUUUGCUGGGGUAGCAAAUAAAAACUUUUUAUUUAAAAAUUAUGAUAAAUAAAUCUUGAAAAACCAAAAAUUUUUUAAUUAAGAAUAAAUUACUGUAGGGAUAACAGCAUAAUUUUUUUAAAGAGUUCUUAUCAUCAAAAAAGUUUGUGACCUCGAUGUUGGAUUAAAAUUUCUAAUUCACGCAAUAGUGAAAUAAGAAAGUCUGUUCGACUUUUAAAAUUUUCCA